rnacentral:rRNA from 1 species
AGCAGUCGCCGCGGUAAUACGUAGGGUGCGAGCGUUAGUCGGAAUUACUGGGCGUAAAGCGUGCGCAGGCGGUUAUGUAAGACAGUUGUGAAAUCCCCGGGCUCAACCUGGGAACUGCAUCUGUGACUGCAUAGCUAGAGUACGGUAGAGGGGGAUGGAAUUCCGCGUGUAGCAGUGAAAUGCGUAGAUAUGCGGGGGAACACCGAUGGCGAAGGCAAUCCCCUGGACCUGUACUGACGCUCAUGCACGAAAGCGUGGGGAGCAAUCAGGAUUAGAUACCCGAGUAGUCCCUGUCUCUUAUAA